rnacentral:rRNA from 1 species
GAUGAACGCUGGCGGCGUGCCUAAUACAUGCAAGUCGAGCGAACAGAUAAGGAGCUUGCUCCUUUGACGUUAGCGGCGGACGGGUGAGUAACACGUGGGUAACCUAUCUAUAAGACUGGAAUAACUCCGGGAAACCGGGGCUAAUGCCGGAUAACAUGUUGAACCGCAUGGUUCUACAGUGAAAGGCGGCUUUGCUGUCACUUAUAGAUGGACCCGCACCGUAUUAGCUAGUUGGUGAGGUAACGGCUCACCAAGGCAACGAUACGUAGCCGACCUGAGAGGGUGAUCGGCCACACUGGAACUGAGACACGGUCCAGACUCCUACGGGAGGCAGCAGUAGGGAAUCUUCCGCAAUGGGCGAAAGCCUGACGGAGCAACGCCGCGUGAGUGAUGAAGGUCUUCGGAUCGUAAAACUCUGUUAUUAGGGAAGAACAAAUGCGUAAGUAACUGUGCGCGUCUUGACGGUACCUAAUCAGAAAGCCACGGCUAACUACGUG